rnacentral:rRNA from 1 species
AGAGUUUGAUCCUGGCUCAGGACGAACGCUGGCGGCGUGCUUAACACAUGCAAGUCGAGCGGAAGUUACGAGGAAGCUUGCGAAUUGUAACUUUAGUGGCGGACGGGUGAGUAACGCGUGGAUAACCUACCUUAAGGACUGGGAUAACACCGGGAAACUGGUGCUAAUACCGGAUAAGCUCAUCGGAGCACAUGCUUUGAUGAGGAAAGGAGAAAUCCGCUUUAAGAUGGGUCCGCGUCCCAUUAGCUAGUUGGGGGUGUAAGAGACCACCAAGGCGACGAUGGGUAGCCGGCCUGAGAGGGUGGACGGCCACACUGGAACUGAGACACGGUCCAUACUCCUACGGGAGGCAGCAAUUAGGAAUCUUGCGCAAUGGGGGCAACCCUGACGCAGCGACACAGUGUGGAGGAGGAAGGUCUUCGGAUUGUAAACUCCUUUUAUGAGGGAAGAAUAGAUGACGGUACCUCAUGAAUAAGCACCUGCUAACUACGUGCCAGAAGCAUCGGUGAUGCGUAGGGUGCGAACGUUAUCCGGAUUUAUUGGGCGUAUAGAGAAGCGUAGGUGUUUUUGUAAGUCUUUAGUUAAAUACCACGGCUCAACCGUGGGGAAGCUUCGGAAACUACAGAAAUUGAGACAGGAAUGGGCGAAUGGAAUUCCCAGUGGAGCGGUGAAAUGCGUUGAUAUUGGGAGGAACAUCAGUGGCGAAGGCGAUUCGCUGGUCCUUGUCUGACACUAAGGCUCGAAAGCGUGGGGAGCAAAACGGAUUAGAUACCCGUGUAGUCCACGCCGUAAACAAUGGACGCUAGGUGUUCGGUACAACUACUUAAUCCUUCGGGAUUGAAUGGAAGUAUUGAGUACUGCAGCUAACGCGUUAAGCGUCCCGCCUGGGAAGUACGGCCGCAAGGCUAAAACUCAAUGAAUUGGCGGGGACCCGCACAGCGGAGGAGCGCGUGGUUUAAUUCGACGGCAA